rnacentral:tRNA from 1 species
GGGGGCGUGGCGAAAUUGGUAGACGCACUGGAUUUAGGUUCCAGCGCCGCACGGUGUAAGAGUUCGAGUCUCUUCGCCCCCACCA